rnacentral:rRNA from 1 species
AGAUUAAGUUAUUAAGGGCGCACGGUGGAUGCCUUGGCACUAGAAGCCGACGAAGGACGUUACUAACGACGAUAUGCUUUGGGUAGCUGUAAGUAAGCGUUGAUCCAGAGAUUUCCGAAUGGGGGAACCCAGCACGAGUUAUGUCGUGUUAUCGACAAGUGAAUUCAUAGCUUGUCAGAAGGCAGACCCGGAGAACUGAAACAUCUUAGUACCCGGAGGAAGAGAAAGAAAAAUCGAUUCCCUGAGUAGCGGCGAGCGAAACGGGAAGAGCCCAAACCAAUAAGCUUGCUUAUUGGGGUUGUAGGACACUCUAUGCGGAGUUACAAAGGAAUAUGUUAGACGAAUCAUCUGGAAAGUUGAAUCAAAGAAGGUAAUAAUCCUGUAGUUGAAAAUAUAUUCUCUCUUGAGUGGAUCCUGAGUACGACGGAGCACGUGAAAUUCCGUCGGAAUCUGGGAGGACCAUCUCCUAAGGCUAAAUACUCUCUAGUGACCGAUAGUGAACCAGUACCGUGAGGGAAAGGUGAAAAGUACCCCGGAAGGGGAGUGAAAGAGAACUUGAAACCGUGUGCUUACAAGUAGUCAGAGCCCGUUAAUGGGUGAUGGCGUGCCUUUUGUAGAAUGAACCGGCGAGUUACGAUCUGAUGCAAGGUUAAGCAGGAAAUGUGGAGCCGUAGCGAAAGCGAGUCUGAAUAGGGCGUUGAGUAUUUGGUCGUAGACCCGAAACCAGGUGAUCUACCCAUGGUCAGGUUGAAGUUCAGGUAACACUGAAUGGAGGACCGAACCGACUUACGUUGAAAAGUGAGCGGAUGAACUGUGGGUAGCGGAGAAAUUCCAAUCGAACUUGGAGAUAGCUGGUUCUCUCCGAAAUAGCUUUAGGGCUAGCCUCAAGUGAUGAUUAUUGGAGGUAGAGCACUGUUUGGACGAGGGGCCCCUCUCGGGUUACCGAAUUCAGACAAACUCCGAAUGCCAAUUAAUUUAACUUGGGAGUCAGAACAUGGGUGAUAAGGUCCGUGUUCGAAAGGGAAACAGCCCAGACCACCAGCUAAGGUCCCAAAAUAUAUGUUAAGUGGAAAAGGAUGUGGCGUUGCCCAGACAACUAGGAUGUUGGCUUAGAAGCAGCCAUCAUUUAAAGAGUGCGUAAUAGCUCACUAGUCGAGUGACACUGCGCCGAAAAUGUACCGGGGCUAAACAUAUUACCGAAGCUGUGGAUUGUCCGUAGGACAAUGGUAGGAGAGCGUUCUAAGGGCGUUGAAGCAUGAUCGCAAGGACAUGUGGAGCGCUUAGAAGUGAGAAUGCCGGUGUGAGUAGCGAAAGACGGGUGAGAAUCCCGUCCACCGAUUGACUAAGGUUUCCAGAGGAAGGCUCGUCCGCUCUGGGUUAGUCGGGUCCUAAGCUGAGGCCGACAGGCGUAGGCGAUGGAUAACAGGUUGAUAUUCCUGUACCACCUAGCAUCGUUUUAAUCGAUGGGGGGACGCAGUAGGAUAGGCGAAGCGUACGAUUGGAUUGUACGUCUAAGCAGUGAGAUUGAGUGUUAGGCAAAUCCGGCACUCUUAAGAUUGAGCUGUGAUGGGGAGAGGAAAUUGUUUCCUCGAGUCGUUGAUUUCACACUGCCGAGAAAAGCCUCUAGAUAGAUAAUAGGUGCCCGUACCGCAAACCGACACAGGUAGUCAAGAUGAGAAUUCUAAGGUGAGCGAGCGAACUCUCGUUAAGGAACUCGGCAAAAUGACCCCGUAACUUCGGGAGAAGGGGUGCUCUUUAGGGUGCAAGCCCAGAAGAGCCGCAGUGAAUAGGCCCAAGCGACUGUUUAUCAAAAACACAGGUCUCUGCUAAACCGUAAGGUGAUGUAUAGGGGCUGACGCCUGCCCGGUGCUGGAAGGUUAAGAGGAGUGGUUAGCUUCUGCGAAGCUACGAAUCGAAGCCCCAGUAAACGGCGGCCGUAACUAUAACGGUCCUAAGGUAGCGAAAUUCCUUGUCGGGUAAGUUCCGACCCGCACGAAAGGCGUAACGAUUUGGGCACUGUCUCAACGAGAGACUCGGUGAAAUCAUAGUACCUGUGAAGAUGCAGGUUACCCGCGACAGGACGGAAAGACCCCGUGGAGCUUUACUGUAGCCUGAUAUUGAAAUUCGGCACAGCUUGUACAGGAUAGGUAGGAGCCUUUGAAACGUGAGCGCUAGCUUACGUGGAGG